rnacentral:lncRNA from 1 species
GUUGAGACAGGGGUCUAUAGUGUGGUGGUGGGUCAGGUUGAGACAGGGGUCUAUAGUGUGGUGGUGGGUCGGGUUUAGACAGGGGUCUAUAGUGUGGUGGUGGUUCAGGUUGAGACAGGGUUCUAUAGUGUUGGUGGUGGGUCAGGUUGAGACAGGGGUAUAUAGUGUUGGUGGUGGGUCAGGUUGAGACAGGGGUCUAUACUGUGGUGGUGGGUCAGGUUGAGACAGGGGUCUAUAGUGUGGUGGUGGGCCAGGUUGAGACAGGGGUCUAUAGUGUUGGUGGUGGGUCAGGUUGAGACAGGGGUCUAUAGAGUUGGUGGAGGGUCAGGUUGAGACAGGGGUCUAUAGUGUGGUGGUGGGUCAGGUUGAGACAGGGGUCUAUAGUGUUGGUGGUGGGUCAGGUUGAGACAGGGGUCUAUAGUGUGGUGGUGGGUCAGGUUGAGACAGGGGUCUAUAGUGUGGUGGUGGGUCAGGUUAAGACAGGGGUCUAUAGUGUGGUGGUGGUGGGUCAGAUUGAGACAGGGGUCUAUAGUGUUGGUGGUGGGUCAGGUUCAGACAGGGGUCUAUAGUGUGUUGGUGGGUCAGGUUGAGACAGGGGUCUAUAGUGUGGUUUUGGGUCAGGUUGAGACAGGGGUCUAUAUUGUGGUGGUGGGUCAGACAGGGGUCUAUAGUGUUGGUGGUGGGUCAGGUUGAGACAGGGGUCUAUAGUGUUGCUGGUGGGUCAGGUUGAGACAGGGGUCUAUAGUGUGGUGGUGGGUCGGGUUUAGACAGGGGUCUAUAGUGUGGUGGUGGGUCAGGUUGAGACAGGGGUCUAUAGUGUUGUGGUGGGUCAGGUUAAGACAGGGGUCUAUAGUGUGGUUGUGGGUCAGGUUAAGACAUGGGUCUAUAGUGUUGGUGGUGGGUCAGGUUGAGACAGGGGUCUAUAGUGUUGCUGGUGGGUCAGUUUGAGACAGGGGUCUAUAGUGUGGUGGUGGGUCGGGUUUAGACAGGGGUCUAUAGUGUGGUGGUGGGUCAGGUUGAGACAGGGGUCUAUAGUGUUGUGAUGGGUCAGGUUGAGACAGGGGUCUAUAGUGUGGUGGUGGGUCAGGUUGAGACAAGGGUCUAUAGUGUGGUGGUGGGUCAGGUUGAGACAGGGGUCUAUAGUGUUGGUGGUGGGUCAGGUUCAGACAGGGGUCUAUAGUGUGUUGGUGGGUCAGGUUGAGACAGGGUUCUAUAGUGUGGUGGUGGGUCAGGUUGAGACCGGGGUCUAUAGUGUGGUAGUGGGUCAGGUUGAGACAGGGGUCUAUAGUGUGGUGGUGGGUCAGGUUGAGACAGGGGUCUAUAGUGUUGGUGGUGGGUCAGGUUGAGACAGGGGUCUAUAGUGUUGGUGGUGGGUCAGGUUGAUACAGGGCUCUAUAGUGUUGGUGGUGGGUCAGGUUGAGACAGGGGUCUAUAGUGUUGGUGGUGGGUCAGGUUGAGACAGGGGUCUAUAGUGUGGUGGUGGGUCAGGUUGAGACAGGGGUCUAUAGUGUUGGUGGUG